UCAUACCAGAGCCAACAGCACCUCCACAGAGAGAAAGCUGCCGGAGCCGGAGAGCCGGGGCGUGGUCAUCGUGGCUGUGAUUGUGUGCAUCCUGGUCCUGGCGGUGCUGGGCGCUGUCCUCUAUUUCCUCUAUAAGAAGGGCAAGCUGCCGUGCAGGCGCUCAGGGAAGCAGGAGAUGGAGAGAAAUACAUCGAUCUGAGGCAUUA
rnacentral:lncRNA from 1 species